GCUCAGGACGAACGCUGGCGGCGUGCCUAAUACAUGCAAGUCGAGCGGAGCUAAUCUUUUCUUCGGAAAAGAUGAUGCUUAGCGGCGGACGGGUGAGUAACACGUAGGUAACCUGCCCAUAAGACUGGGAUAACAUUCGGAAACGGAUGCUAAUACCAGAUAAUCAAGUUUCUCGCAUGAGAGAUUUGGGAAGGGCGGAGCAAUCUGUCACUUAUGGAUGGACCUGCGGUGCAUUAGCUAGUUGGUGAGGUAACGGCUCACCAAGGCGACGAUGCAUAGCCGACCUGAGAGGGUGAUCGGCCACACUGGGACUGAGACACGGCCCAGACUCCUACGGGAGGCAGCAGUAGGGAAUCUUCCACAAUGGACGAAAGUCUGAUGGAGCAACGCCGCGUGAGUGAUGAAGGCCUUCGGGUCGUAAAGCUCUGUUGCCAGGGAAGAACGCUCAGGAGAGUAACUGCUCCUGAGGUGACGGUACCUGAGAAGAAAGCCCCGGCUAACUACGUGCCAGCAGCCGCGGUAAUACGUAGGGGGCAAGCGUUGUCCGGAAUUAUUGGGCGUAAAGCGCGCGCAGGCGGUUCAUUAAGUCUGGUGUUUAAGGCAAUGGCUCAACCAUUGUUCGCACCGGAAACUGGUGGACUUGAGUGUAGGAGAGGAAAGUGGAAUUCCACGUGUAGCGGUGAAAUGCGUAGAGAUGUGGAGGAACACCAGUGGCGAAGGCGACUUUCUGGCCUAUAACUGACGCUGAGGCGCGAAAGCGUGGGGAGCAAACAGGAUUAGAU
rnacentral:rRNA from 1 species